rnacentral:rRNA from 1 species
UACAGGGGGGGCAAGCGUUGUUCGGAAUUACUGGGCGUAAAGGGCUCGUAGGCGGCCAACUAAGUCACACGUGAAAUCCCCAGGCUUAACCUGGGAACUGCGUGUGAUACUGGAUGGCUUGAAUUCGGGAGAGGGAUGCAGAAUUCCAGGUGUAGCGGUGAAAUGCGUAGAUAUCUGGAGGAACACCGGUGGCGAAGGCGGCAUCCUGGACCGACACUGACACUGAGGAGCGAAAGCCAGGGGAGCAAACGGG